GACGAACGCUGGCGGCGUGCUUAACACGUGCAAGUCGAACGGAAAGGCCCUGCUCUUGUGGGGUGCUCGAGUGGCGAACGGGUGAGUAACACGUGAGUAACCUGCCCUUGACUUUGGGAUAACUUCAGGAAACUGGGGCUAAUACCGGAUAGGAGCUCCUGCUGCAUGGUGGGGGUUGGAAAGUUUCGGCGGUUGGGGAUGGACUCGCGGCUUAUCAGCUUGUUGGUGGGGUAGUGGCUUACCAAGGCUUUGACGGGUAGCCGGCCUGAGAGGGUGGCCGGCCACAUUGGGACUGAGAGACGGACCAGACUCCUACGGGAGGCAGCAGUGGGGAAUAUUGCACAAUGGGCGGAAGCCUGAUACGGCAACGCCGCGUGCGGGAUGACGGCCUUCGGGUUGUAAACCGCUUUCGCCUGUGACGAAGCGUGAGUGACGGUAAUGGGUAAAGAAGCACCGGCUAACUACGUG
rnacentral:rRNA from 1 species